CCCACAGCAUAUGGAAGGUCCCAGGCUAGGGGUCAAAUCGGAGCUGCAGCUGCCAGCCACAGCCACAGCCACAGCCACUCGGGAUCCUACACCACAGCUCACAGCAACGUCAGAUCCUUAACUCACUGAGCAAGGCCAGGGCUCGAACCCAGUUCCUCGUGGACACUAGUCUGAGCCACGACGGGAACGCCUCUCUGUGUCCUUCUUGGUCCAUGUGCUGGAAUCAGUGUUUUCCCUGUGUGGAUACCAAACUCUUCCGGCCCUUUCUGUCUAACAUCAGAAGAAAAACUUGGUUUCCGGUGAGCCUCUGUUGAUGGACACAGAGCCAAGAGGACAGAGGAAAGUCCCCGCCUUCCCAGACGGCCUUCCUCUGGGGGCAGGCGGGACGGAGCAGGCGAGGGGGAGGGAGGCGUGACCUGGAGUCCAACCCCCAGAGCGGCUGACCCCCCCGUCAGUAACAAGCGUCCCCUUGCACUCGGCUCGACGUGGUCCCUUUCCUCGGCCCUAGAGCCACGGCGCAGACCUCCCGUCCACAGGGUUUCUGCCAUCCCCCUCCCCCCCCCCCCCCCCCCGCAGCCCCGUCCGGGCUCAGAGGAGGCCCCGCAGAGGCACAGGGCUGAGCUUGUCUUCAGAGCCGUGUCUGUGUCUGACUCCCUGCAAGUGACAACCUCCACAGGUAGGAAGAGGGACAAAUGCAGCUUCCUUCCAGCCCAAACACACAGGCAGUUUUCUCACUGGAGCUGCAAGAAUGGAUCGUUUGGGGGGAAAUAACAUAAAAAUCUAAGAGCCCUGCUUCCCAGGCUGGAAGACAGACCAGAUCUAUUCAUUCAGCGCGCAUUAUAACCCACUGCUUAAUUAAUAAACAGCCGCGCGCUCUCUGCAGAGAGGAAGCACCGAGCAAUCCCCCGGGCUGGCAUCCUGGCCGGGAGGCCCACUCAAGACGGGGACAGUGACUCAGCUGAAGUGUUACCUUUUCAGGGAGACGUUCCCUGAACCCACGUCCGAUCUGUAUGUUCCUGCCUUAUUCUGCAUGGAAUUCUGCAUUCCCCUGCUUUUACUCAUUAAGCGUCUGAGUACUUGCGAGUGCACAGCUCCUGCCAUCUUGGCUGUUUCCUUGCAUCCCUGACGAGACGACAAAAACAAAACCAGUGACGAAGCAAACCCGUGCCAAGGUGUCUUGAGCUGCAUCAAGGAGUUCCGUUCUGAACAAGGGAACACGGCCCCUUCCUAACUGUGCCUGAAGACAGGCUCCCUCUCCACCAGGACACGGCUGCAACCAGAAAUCUGCUUUCCCGUCUGACGAGGUUUGUGCACCUUUGGAUGCUGCCAGUGCCCUCCUGUCUGGUUCAGGACCCCACUAGGAACAUUCAUGAACGCGGACACGCCUGCCGGUGGCCCUCGUGUGGGAGGAAACCAUGCUUGUCCCGUGUCCCUUACACAUCACAUACUCUGUCCUGAGCUUAACACGCCCGACAGUCUUAAUACCGCCUGAGCACAGGGAUCGAGGCUCUGCCGCGGCGAAUCCUCUAUGAAGUGAGUUCUACCUAUCAGCAUGUGCCCACUUUACAGACGAGGAGACUGGGGCGCCGAGAACAGCCCUCCCCAGGUCCCGCAAGCGUAGGGCCAGGAUUCGAAUCCAGCCCGCGUUUCUCCACGUCUAGGCGCCUGUCCCUGCACCGGAAAAAGCUGCUGGAGCAUGAUCCUCUCCCCGUCAGGAGAACCUGGGCAUCCCCGCCAGCCGGGACCCGUCGGGAGGGCUGCUGGGUUCGCUGGGAAUUAUACCCUCCUGCCUACAGCAGGUGCCUCGGAAGCACAGGCCCUGCGAGGCCCAGGAGGAAAAAGAACAGGACGAGAUCGGAAAGCCUCCUUCGCCUCAGGCUACAUGCCGCCACCUGCUCAGGACCAACC
rnacentral:lncRNA from 1 species